AUUUAAUGGGGGGCAGAUAUAUUUUCUGCACCGAAUACAUUAGCAUGGGAUAAUGGAAUAGGACCCUGACCUCCUAUUUUCAGUUGGUUUUGUUUACAGCGAGGUUAUAUCAGGGUAAUGAUUAAUAGGGAUAGUUGGGGGCAUUAAUAUUUAAUUGUCAGAGGUGAAAUUCUUGGAUUUAUGAAAGAUUAACUUCUGCGAAAGCGUUUGCCAAGGAUGUUUUCAUUAAUCAAGAACGAAAGUUAGGGGAUCGAAGACGAUCAGAUACCGUCGUAGUCUUAACCAUAAACGAUGCCGACCAGCGAUUAGGAGACGUUGAAUACAAAACACCGCCGUUAAUCCUUUCGGGGGUUAAUGGUUGGUGAAUGACUCCCUAGCAGCUUGUGAGAAAGCUCCG
rnacentral:rRNA from 1 species